UUUAGAACUGUAAUGGGGCUUUCCAAAUC
rnacentral:sRNA from 1 species